UUGAAUCAUUAUUUAUUUAUUUGUCCAACCAGUUCCAUUCAUUUUUAGAUUUAUGCAAGGUCAGAGGGCUUUUCCUCUUUUCUUCGCUCGAACAGCUCCCUAUAGUCGCUGCGCCAUCGUCCGCUCCAGCCUCCAAUGUCGACGUCGAUCUUCCGUGAAGCUCCAAUCUACUAUGGCGCCGUCGAUCGCGUGCUGUUCGCCUGCAGGUGUGGAGCUUCAGAUCUCGUGCAGCGCCGUCGUCCACUCGUACUGAGGCUCCAUUCUUCAGCCAAGUCACUGCUGUCUCCUCCUCAGAAGCUGUCUUGCUGUUGGCCAUUGCUAUCUACAGCUCGUUCGAUUGUAGGUUUGUUCCAGUUGAAAUGUUUUGGCUACCUCCAAUUUAGUUUACUAUUUUGCAGGGAGCAUUAGGGCUCUGCUUUAGGAUCUGAUCUGAUUUUCUGUGAAAAUAGCUUAUUGAUGAUUUUCUAGUGAUUUGAAUGCUAUUCAUGCACUAAGAUUAUUCUGCCCAUCCCUCUGCGGAAUCGGAACAUCUUAUGUACAAUUAGAAUUAGAAUGUGGAACCCAGAGAACUUAACGUGUUCUGUUGUAUAGCUGAGAUAUGGGUACACUGACGUACGCAACGAGCAAGAGCCUUGCAAGAGAUUAUUGGUUGAGAGGUUGAAGGAAUUCAUUUUUGGAGAGGGUUGGUGUCACAGAGAAUAUUGAUAUAGAAUGGUGAAACUGAGGUUGAAGAUGGAGUCCAAGAGUCUCGUAGUGAAGAGAGACCGCAAGAGGUUGUUAAAAGAGAGAUUGAGGCCGUUGAGAGAGUGAUGAGAGAUAGUGUUGUUCACUUGAUUGGUGAGAGCGAGGUGGUUGCUUACAACUUUCUGAAGAAAAACUUGAGACAGAGUGACAAAGUGUUCAAUAUUCCUCAUAAGUGUUUGGUCAAGCAAUUGGGUUUAAUGUCGAAACAGUACUGCAAUAUAACAACAAUAAAUUUUGAUUUUGGAAUUUAGGACUUUAAGGAGUUUUAUUGAUGAGCAACACACAAGAUUUGCUGAAAUUUCCAAAGUAGCAAAGAUAAAAGUUGCUGCAGCUAAGGAAAAGGUAGCGACUUAUGAGGUUGUGCAUCUUUUGUCGAUGUAUUAUACUUUUUUUAAAAUUGCCUAAAUAAUUUGUGGAUUUAUUUUAUCUGGAGGAAAGAAGUCUUAAGCAAAACAAUGAGGCAAGAGCCAGGUUCCUAAAAGUAAGAUGUGUUUCUUUAGAUUUUCUGUUCAGACCAUUUUGCAAAGUUCAUGGCCACCCGAAGAUCUCAUUCUUCCAUCUUUUGUCGAAGUUUGGGUAGGGGUCUAUGGUUCCCGCAUUUUAAAAAUCAUCUUAGUUACUAUUUGUAUGACUACUUUUUUAUUGCACGCUUUUGUCUUUUUUAUAUACUUUACUUUCCCUUUCAUCAUUCUUUUAAUAUACAGUUCAUUUUCCAUGUUCUUUACAUGAGUAUCUUUGAUUGAAAUGUUAAUGCGAAAUGAUAGAUUACUCCUGGUGAUAAAUGCAUUCCUGUUGUAUAUGGUAUUAGUAUCUAGCUCUCUUUGCUAAAAAGUAUUAAUAUGAUUUGUUUGCUUGUGCAUGCAAAACUGUAACUAAACUUUGGGUUAAUCCAGGGCUACCUUUCACUGAUGUCGUAAUAUCUAUCCUUUUGUUAGAAAAAUCUGGGAGUCUGAACGUUGUUGUGGAUAGAUUUUUUCCUUUCCUAGCUGUUCUAGGUUGUAUGUAUACUAUCUUUUCAUUUUGCUUUCCUGGCUUCCAGCAUUGCUGCCUGCAAUAAGAGGGAACAAGUGAAUUUGUUGUAUUUAUGGCUGAUAUUUUGAUUUGCUCAUGCUGAUAUUUCUUUUGGUUCAGAUUUUGGAGGAGCUAAAUCUUAGCAUGGAGUAAUUCAUUGACUUGCGCAUAUAUUCUUUCUGGGUGUGAUUACUGUGAUAGUAUUCAUAAUUAAUAUCACAUUUAUAAUUUAACUAAAUUAUUUUUAUUUAUUUUUUUUGCAAACAGAAUGUGAAUGAAUACUCUACAAUCAAAUAAGAAUAGUGUUAGAUGUAUUUGUACCAUGUA